rnacentral:rRNA from 1 species
GACGAAUGCUGGCUGCGUGCUUAACACAUGCAAGUCGAACGGUGAACCAGGGCUUGCCCUGGGGAUCAGUGGCGAACGGGUGAGUAACACGUGGGCAACCUGCCCCUCACUCUGGAAUAACUCCGGGAAACCGGGGCUAAUACCGGAUAUGACCUGGUGCGACAUCACCACAGGUGGAAAGAAUUUCGGUGAGGGAUGGGCCCGCGGCCUAUCAGCUAGUUGGUGGGGUAACGGCCCACCAAGGCGACGACGGGUAGCCGGCCUGAGAGGGCGACCGGCCACACUGGGACUGAGACACGGCCCAGACUCCUACGGGAGGCAGCAGUGGGGAAUAUUGCGCAAUGGGCGAAAGCCUGACGCAGCGACGCAGCGUGAGGGACGACGGCCUUCGGGUUGUAAACCUCUUUCAGCGGGGACGAAGCGAAAGUGACGGUACCCGCAGAAGAAGCACCGGCUAACUACGUGCCAGCAGCCGCAGUAUCAC